rnacentral:rRNA from 1 species
GUGCCAGCCGCCGCGGUAAUACGGAAGGGGCAAGCGUUGUUCGGAAUCAUUGGGCGUAAAGGGCGCGUAGGCGGUCUUGUGUGUCUGCUGUGAAAGCCCACGGCUCAACCGUGGAGGGUCGGUGGAAACUGCAAGACUCGAGGCUGGGAGGGGCUGGUGGAAUUCCCUGUGUAGCGGUGAAAUGCGUAGAUAUAGGGGAGAACACUCGUGGCGAAGGCGGCCAGCUAGACCAGUCCUGACGCUGAGGCGCGACAGCGUGGGGAGCAAACAGGAUUAGAUACCCUUGUAGUCC